rnacentral:rRNA from 1 species
AACGAACGCUGGCGGCAGGCUUAACACAUGCAAGUCGAACGCCGUAGCAAUACGGAGUGGCAGACGGGUGAGUAACGCGUGGGAACCUUCCCUAUGGUUCGGAAUAGCUCAGGGAAACCUGGGGUAAUACCGGAUAAGCCCUUCGGGGGAAGGAUUUAUCGCCAUUGGAUGGGCCCGCGUCGGAUUAGCUAGUUGGUGGGGUAACGGCCUACCAAGGCGACGAUCCGUAGCUGGUCUGAGAGGAUGAUCAGCCACACUGGGACUGAGACACGGCCCAGACUCCUACGGGAGGCAGCAGUGGGGAAUAUUGGACAAUGGGCGAAAGCCUGAUCCAGCCAUGCCGCGUGAGUGACGAAGGCCUUAGGGUUGUAAAGCUCUUUUGGCGGGGAAGAUAAUGACGGUACCCGCAGAAUAAGCUCCGGCUAACUUCGUGCCAGCAGCCGCCGUAAUAC